rnacentral:rRNA from 1 species
UACCAGCUCUCCGAGUGGUGUGGAUGUUUAUUGGGCCUAAAGCAUCCGUAGCUGGCUGGGCAAGUCCCCUGUUAAAUCCACCGAUUUAAUCGUUGGAGUGCGGGGGAUACUGCUCGGCUAGGGGGCGGGAGAGGCGGACGGUAUUUUCGGGGUAGGGGUGAAAUCCUAUAAUCCCGAGAAGACCACCAGUGGCGAAGGCUGUCUGCUAGAACGUGCCCGACGGUGAGGGAUGAAAGCUGGGGGAGCGAACCGGAUUAGAUACCCGGGUAGUCCCAGCUGUAAACGAUGCAGGCUAGGUGUUUGGACGGCCACGUGCCGUUCUAGUGCCGCAGGGAAGCCGUUAAGCCUGCCGCCUGGGGAGUACGGCCGCAAGGCUGAAACUUAAAGGAAUUGGCGGGGAGCACACAAGGGGUGAAGCUUGCGGUUU